GAUGAACGCUGGCGGCGUGCCUAAUACAUGCAAGUCGAGCGAACGGACGAGAAGCUUUCUUCUCUGAUGUUAGCGGCGGACGGGUGAGUAACACGUGGAUAACCUACCUAUAAGACUGGGAUAACUUCGGGAAACCGGAGCUAAUACCGGAUAAUAUUUUGAACCGCAUGGUUCAAAAGUGAAUGACGGUCUUGCUGUCACUUAUAGAUGGAUCCGCGCUGCAUUAGCUAGUUGGUAAGGUAACGGCUUACCAAGGCAACGAUGCAUAGCCGACCUGAGAGGGUGAUCGGCCACACUGGAACUGAGACACGGUCCAGACUCCUACGGGAGGCAGCAGUAGGGAAUCUUCCGCAAUGGGCGAAAGCCUGACGGAGCAACGCCGCGUGAGUGAUGAAGGUCUUCGGAUCGUAAAACUCUGUUAUUAGGGAAGAACAUAUGUGUAAGUAACUGUGCACAUCUUGACGGUACCUAAUCAGAAAGCCACGGCUAACUACGUG
rnacentral:rRNA from 1 species